rnacentral:rRNA from 1 species
AACGAACGCUGGCGGCAGGCCUAACACAUGCAAGUCGAACGCCCGUAGCAAUACGGGAGUGGCAGACGGGUGAGUAACGCGUGGGAACGUGCCCUUCGGUUCGGAAUAACUCAGGGAAACUUGAGCUAAUACCGGAUACGUCCGUAAGGAGAAAGAUUUAUCGCCGAAGGAUCGGCCCGCGUCGGAUUAGCUAGUUGGUGAGGUAACGGCCCACCAAGGCGACGAUCCGUAGCUGGUCUGAGAGGAUGAUCAGCCACACUGGGACUGAGACACGGCCCAGACUCCUACGGGAGGCAGCAGUGGGGAAUCUUGCGCAAUGGGCGAAAGCCUGACGCAGCGACGCCGCGUGAGGGAUGACGGCC